rnacentral:rRNA from 1 species
UACGGAGGGUGCAAGCGUUAUCCGGAUUCACUGGGUUUAAAGGGUGCGUAGGCGGGCAUGUAAGUCCGUGGUUAAAUCUCCGAGCUUAACUCGGAAACUGCCAUGGAUACUAUGUGUCUUGAAUGUUGUGGAGGUGAGCGGAAUAUGUCAUGUAGCGGUGAAAUGCUUAGAUAUGACAUAGAACACCAAUUGCGAAGGCAGCUCACUACACAAAUAUUGACGCUGAGGCACGAAAGCGUGGGGAUCAAACAGG